UGGCGAACGGGUGAGUAACGCGUGAGGAACCUACCUCAAAGAGGAGACAACAGUUGAAACGACUGCUAAUACCGCAUAAGCCCACGGGUCGGCAUCGACCUGAGGGAAAAGGAGCAAUCCGCUUUGAGAUGGCCUCGCGUCCGAUUAGCUAGUUGGUGAGGUAACGGCCCACCAAGGCGACGAUCGGUAGCCGGACUGAGAGGUUGAACGGCCACAUUGGGACUGAGACACGGCCCAG
rnacentral:rRNA from 1 species